AUUUUCUACGAAGAUGAAGAUGAGCUGAAUCAGGAUUUUUAUCCGGACUGCGACGUUUACGGCAGAUGAAUAAGAAAGUACCAUUUCUUCUGUUAUUGAAGAGGACUACACGCUAAUGGGUGAAACUAGAAGGCUCAUCGGUGCGGUGGAAUUUGUUGCGAUGGAUGUCAGCCCCUACCCUUGCUUUCGGGUUGAGAUCGGGUUCAACCAUCCCCUUCCUUUCAUAGUCCUCCGUCGUCAAUCGGAGGUUCUUGUUACUUGCCUCGAUGAUACCCCUCCGGAGGAACUUGCUGUUACAGUAGCUCAACACAUUGGUUGAGGC